AGCGAACGCUGGCGGCAGGCUUAACACAUGCAAGUCGAGCGCCCCGCCAGGGGAGCGGCCGACGGGAGAGUAACACGUGGGGACAUACCUUUUGGUUCGGAACAACUGAGGGAAACUUCAGCUAAUACCGGAUAAGCCCUUACGGGGAAAGAUUUAUCGCCGAAAGAUUGGCCCGCGUCUGAUUAGCUAGUUGGUGAGGUAACGGCUCACCAAGGCGACGAUCAGUAGCUGGUCUGAGAGGAUGAUCAGCCUCACUGGGACUGAGACACGGCCCAGACUCCUACGGGAGGCAGCAGUGGGGAAUAUUGGACAAUGGGGGCAACCCUGAUCCAGCCAUGCCGCGUGAGUGAUGAAGGCCUUAGGGUUGUAAAGCUCUUUUGCCCGGGAAGAUAAUGACGGUACCGGGAGAAUAAGCCCCGGCUAACUUCGUG
rnacentral:rRNA from 1 species